rnacentral:lncRNA from 1 species
CCCGCCCCUUCUUCCAGGUGCAGCAGCUUGUCCCUGAAAGAAUGAACUGCUGGCUGGACAGCAUGAACUUGAAGCCACUGCAGCCAUCCUGUCCCCACGAAGGGAAUGAUGUCCACAGCACAAAGGGGUGACGGCCAUGCCGAGAAAGGCCAAUGGAGAAAUGAAGAGAUGGGUUCCUGCUGGCCCCAUCUGAGCCCUGGAUCCAGCUAUGCCUGGAGCUCACCCCCGUGUCAUGGGAGGCCACACAUUCCCUCUGUUGCAGAAGUCUGGUGCCGCGGGUUCCUGCUUUGUGACUCAGAGAGCGAUCGUGGUGGGUGCGGUCAGCCGUGCCUCUCACUGUCCCAGAAGGGUUCCUGACCAGCAGCAGGUCCUGUUGCUUCACCUUCAAAGCCUGUCCCGAAUCAGUC